rnacentral:rRNA from 1 species
GGGUUGUGAGGUUAAGCGACUAAGCGUACACGGUGGAUGCCCUGGCAGUCAGAGGCGAUGAAGGACGUGCUAAUCUGCGAAAAGCGUCGGUAAGGUGAUAUGAACCGUUAUAACCGGCGAUGUCCGAAUGGGGAAACCCAGUGCAAUUCGUUGCACUAUCGUUAACUGAAUACAUAGGUUAACGAGGCGAACCGGGGGAACUGAAACAUCUAAGUACCCCGAGGAAAAGAAAUCAACCGAGAUUCCCCCAGUAGCGGCGAGCGAACGGGGAGCAGCCCAGAGUCUGAAUCAGCUUGUGUGUUAGUGGAACGGUCUGGAAAGUCCGACGGUACAGGGUGAUAGUCCCGUACACCAAAAUGCACAGGUUGUGAACUCGAAGAGUAGGGCGGGACACGUGGUAUCCUGUCUGAAUAUGGGGGGACCAUCCUCCAAGGCUAAAUACUCCUGACUGACCGAUAGUGAACCAGUACCGUGAGGGAAAGGCGAAAAGAACCCCGGCGAGGGGAGUGAAAAAGAACCUGAAACCGUGUACGUACAAGCAGUGGGAGCACCUUCGGGUGUGACUGCGUACCUUUUGUAUAAUGGGUCAGCGACUUAUAUUCUGUAGCAAGGUUAACCGUAUAGGGGAGCCGCAGGGAAACCGAGUCUUAACUGGGCGUUAAGUUGCAGGGUAUAGACCCGAAACCCGGUGAUCUAGCCAUGGGCAGGUUGAAGGUUGGGUAACACUAACUGGAGGACCGAACCGACUAAUGUUGAAAAAUUAGCGGAUGACUUGUGGCUGGGGGUGAAAGGCCAAUCAAACCGGGAGAUAGCUGGUUCUCCCCGAAAGCUAUUUAGGUAGCGCCUCGUGAACUCAUCUUCGGGGGUAGAGCACUGUUUCGGCUAGGGGGUCAUCCCGACUUACCAACCCGAUGCAAACUACGAAUACCGAAGAAUGUUAUCACGGGAGACACACGGCGGGUGCUAACGUCCGUCGUGAAGAGGGAAACAACCCAGACCGCCAGCUAAGGUCCCAAAGUCAUGGUUAAGUGGGAAACGAUGUGGGAAGGCACAGACAGCCAGGAUGUUGGCUUAGAAGCAGCCAUCAUUUAAAGAAAGCGUAAUAGCUCACUGGUCGAGUCGGCCUGCGCGGAAGAUGUAACGGGGCUAAACCAUGCACCGAAGCUGCGGCAGCGACAC